AUAAUGGGUUAGGUAAAUGUUUUAUGAUAAUGUAUUAGGUAAAUGUUUCAUGAUAAUGGGUUAGGUAAAUGUUUCAUGAUAAGAAUUUCAUGUCUUUUGUAUUAAAGAAUUAAAUGGAUGAAAUAUGAAGUUUUAUUAAAGAAAAAGGGGUGAAAAGAACAAAGUUUUGUCCAUUUUUGUUCAUCAUAGCUGAAAGUUAGAGAAGAGAAAGGAGAGGAGAAAGCUCUUGAGUAUUUGGUCAUUAGGAGGAGGAAAAUUGAAGGCGGUUCGUGUGUGGAUCUCGUCAACAUAUCGUCGCAAACAGGUAAUCCCCAACCAUAGUGGGCUUGGAGCUGUGAGGGAAUUCGGAGUGGCCACCCGUUUUGAAAGUUUGAUUUUCUUCUGGUGAACUGGACAUCCUUUUAAUUACGUUUGAGGUUUUGGGCUUUUAAAUGUAAAAAGGCCGCUUAUUUA